rnacentral:rRNA from 1 species
GACGAACGCUGGCGGCGUGCUUAACACAUGCAAGUCGAACGGUAAGGCCUUGCUUUUGUGGGGUGCUCGAGUGGCGAACGGGUGAGUAACACGUGAGUAACCUGCCCUUGACUUUGGGAUAACUUCAGGAAACUGGGGCUAAUACCGGAUAGGAGCUCCUGCUGCAUGGUGGGGGUUGGAAAGUUUCGGCGGUUGGGGAUGGACUCGCGGCUUAUCAGCUUGUUGGUGGGGUAGUGGCUUACCAAGGCUUUGACGGGUAGCCGGCCUGAGAGGGUGACCGGCCACAUUGGGACUGAGAUACGGCCCAGACUCCUACGGGAGGCAGCAGUGGGGAAUAUUGCACAAUGGGCGGAAGCCUGAUGCAGCAACGCCGCGUGCGGGAUGACGGCCUUCGGGUUGUAAACCGCUUUCGCCUGUGACGAAGCGUGAGUGACGGUAAUGGGUAAAGAAGCACCGGCUAACUACGUG